rnacentral:rRNA from 1 species
UACGAAGGGGGCUAGCGUUGCUCGGAAUUACUGGGCGUAAAGGGUGCGUAGGCGGUCGGGUAAGUCGGAUGUGAAAUCCCAGGGCUCAACCCUGGAACUGCAUUCGAUACUGCCUGGCUAGGGUACUGGAGAGGAGACUGGAAUUUACGGUGUAGCAGUGAAAUGCGUAGAUAUCGUAAGGAAGACCAGUGGCGAAGGCGAGUCUCUGGACAGUUACCGACGCUGAGGCACGAAGGUCAGGGGAGCAAACGGG